rnacentral:lncRNA from 1 species
GUUUUGCGUAGGACGGUUAACGUAUAAAACCGAUUGCGAAGUUUAGCUCUUCGGUUUUGUUCAGCUGCUCAAAAUGACACUAUUAAAGUGUCAGCAUUGUGUUAGAGAGGAUAAAGCAGCAGAGGACACAGAUCAUGUGGAGAAAAUCUUGCCACCCGGCUACAGUCAUCUACUUUGUCAUUAUGAACUGCUGGAAAUGUCGGGGGAUAUUGAAAACUUCAGAGCAGCUCUUAAAUUGCAGAUGACUACUGAGGAGCAGGUCCAGAAGUGGUUGGAGGACUUCCAGAAGUCCUCAGCUUUAACAUGGAGGAAAUCCAGGACAUACCCUGACUCUGGACGCUACAACAAAUACAGAGUGGAUCUGAGAUGCCAGCACAAAACACAAGUUCAUCAUCCAAAACGACCAAAAAUACCAACUGCCCUGCCACCAUGUUUCUGAUUCUCAAGAGAUUUAUGUAUGAAAGAAAGUCCAGGUGAGACCAAAACGAGACCAAGGUAAUGUACUAUAAAUACAAUUCAAUUCAUCUUGAACACCCAAAUGUUUGAUCACAAUAAAUUGAAUUCACAGGAGGUCAUGCAAUCUAUGCAUUAAAACAUAAUACUUCAUCUAUCCUUCCACAGAUCAGGAGACCCACACCUUGAAGAGGGCUAUUUCCUUCAUGUGAACUUGAGGAAUGAACAUAAUCAUAGACUGAACACAGCUGAGGCCAUGAGGUGGAGAGAUGUGUCGAAUGACACCAUUGAAAAGUUACAACAGCUCUACAAAAGCGGUCACUCUCCUUCAUCUGCACUCAAGAAUAUUAAAUACAGCCUGCAGGAAGAGGAAGGCGAUAACUACAUUUACGCUACUGCGGAUCGAUCCAUCUGCCCAGACCUUCAGUUCUGCUACAGGUCAGUCAAACUAGUUCAAAACACGUGUUUCAAACUCGUGUGUAAAUCUUUGUAAUAAUUG